GUGUGUCUUGGGAAGGGGUGGUUGAGGAAGAAGAGUGCUAGUCUGGUAUUCCUUAACUCCAAAAAGGAAAUACUGCCCUUGAUUUAUUUUCACAAGUUAUCUGAGAAACAAAUAGCAGCCUUGGAAAAGUUCUAGGUCUUGUUUUUGUUUUGUUUUUUCAUUAAAAGGGGGCCCAGCUGAUGAAAACAAGUUAUGAAAUGACCUAUGUUUGUGUAACUGGCUGGAUUGCGUAAUGCUCAGGCCCUGAAACCGUAAUAGUCAAGCAGCCAGGCAGGGCAUAUAUCUGGGAGAUGUUUUCCUAGGAAAGUUAGGAGAGAAAAAACAACAGCAAAAAGAAAAAUCCAAGAAGGGGAGGUGUGUGCAACGGUUACUGACAAAACAAAAUCACCAAUGACCAACCUUUGAGAUUAAAACUAUAACUGGAACAGGAAAUAUUUUUCAUGCCUCAAGUUCCUGCCAUAUAUAAGAACAGAGGCUGUAACAAAGACUAGUCUGCUCCCCCCACCCCCAAAGUCACUGGAGCUCAUGGCCAUGUAUUAAGAUCCAGCUUCAUGAAGCUAGAGAGGACGGGAAAGCUCUGGGUUGAAGAACUGGCAACAAACUAAUCAGGAAUAUUGGACCCCCAAAAGAGAGAGCUGAAAAAAAUAAAAUUCACUUCCCCAGAGAAAAACCAGAGAACUGUCUCAUAUGGAUCGGUCCACUGAGAUGCCAUAAAAGAGAAAGGCCCAUCCACUAAUUGCCAGGAAAGUCUUCCAGUACAGGAAGCGGAGAGAAAUAAAGUGAUUACAGGUUUUAUCUGGUAUGUAGUAAAGUUACCUUGAGCCCAAGAUCGGGCAAGGUCAUAGCAUAGACUUGUGAAGGAACAAAAGCCUCUGAGGUCAGUCCUUAGGACCACAGAACAAUUUUGUUCACACUUGGAGCAAUGACAGAAAAAUCCACCAGUUCCUCCUCGUCCCCCACCCAACCACCACCACACCAA
rnacentral:lncRNA from 1 species